AUACGUAGGGUGCAAGCGUUAAUCGGAAUUACUGGGCGUAAAGCGUGCGCAGGCGGUUUUGUAAGACAGUGGUGAAAUCCCCGGGCUCAACCUGGGAACUGCCAUUGUGACUGCAAGGCUGGAGUGCGGCAGAGGGGGACUGAAUUCCGCGUGUAGCAGUGAAAUGCGUAGAUAUGCGGAGGAACACCGAUGGCGAAGGCAAUCCCCUGGGCCUGCACUGACGCUCAUGCACGAAAGCGUGGGGAGCAAACAGGAUUAGAUACCCUGGUAGUCCACGCCCUAAACGAUGUCAACUGGUUGUUGGGUCUUCAUUGACUCAGUAACGAAGCUAACGCGUGAAGUUGACCGCCUGGGGAGUACGGCCGCAAGGUUGAAACUCAAAUGAAUUGACGGGG
rnacentral:rRNA from 1 species